AAUAGAUACCCAGGUAGUCCACGCCGUAAACGAUGUCGACUUGGAGGUUGUUCCCUUGAGGAGUGGCUUCCGGAGCUAACGCGUUAAGUCGACCGCCUGGGGAGUACGGCCGCAAGGUUAAAACUCAAAUGAAUUGACGGGGGCCCGCACAAGCGGUGGAGCAUGUGGUUUAAUUCGAUGCAACGCGAAGAACCUUACCUACUCUUGACAUCCAGAGAACUUAGCAGAGAUGCUUUGGUGCCUUCGGGAACUCUGAGACAGGUGCUGCAUGGCUGUCGUCAGCUCGUGUUGUGAAAUGUUGGGUUAAGUCCCGCAACGAGCGCAACCCUUAUCCUUUGUUGCCAGCGGUUCGGCCGGGAACUCAAAGGAGACUGCCAGUGAUAAACUGGAGGAAGGUGGGGAUGACGUCAAGUCAUCAUGGCCCUUACGAGUAGGGCUACACACGUGCUACAAUGGCGUAUACAAAGAGAAGCGACCUCGCGAGAGCAAGCGGACCUCAUAAAGUACGUCGUAGUCCAGAUUGGAGUCUGCAAC
rnacentral:rRNA from 1 species